rnacentral:rRNA from 1 species
AUUGAACGCUGGCGGCAGGCCUAACACAUGCAAGUCGAGCGGAUGAAGGGAGCUUGCUCCUGGAUUCAGCGGCGGACGGGGGAGUAAUGCCUAGGAAUCUGCCUGGUAGUGGGGGAGAACGCCCGGAAACGGCCGCAAUAACCGCGUACACCCUGGGGGGAAAAGGGGGGGGGCUUCGGACCCCUCGCGAUCAGAGGAUCCUAGGUCGGAUUAGCUAGUUGGUGGGGUAAAGGCCUACCAAGGCGACGAUCCGUAACUGGUCUGAGAGGAUGAUCAGUCACACUGGAACUGAGACACGGUCCAGACUCCUACGGGAGGCAGCAGUGGGGAAUAUUGGACAAUGGGCGAAAGCCUGAUCCAGCCAUGCCGCGUGUGUGAAGAAGGUCUUCGGAUUGUAAAGCACUUUAAGUUGGGAGGAAGGGCAGUAAGUUAAUACCUUGCUGUUUUGACGUUACCAAAAGAAUAAGCACCGGCUAACUUCGUG